AAACUUUCAACAACGGAUCUCUUGGUUCCGGCAUCGAUGAAGAACGCAGCGAAAUGCG
rnacentral:rRNA from 1 species